GGGUCCGUAGUGUAGUUUGGAUAGCACAUCGGCUUCCGGAGCCGAAGGUCAGGGGUUCAAAUCCCCUCGGACCCG
rnacentral:tRNA from 1 species